GAGGGGGACACAGUGGGCUGUACUGAAUGUAUAUAGACCUCUAACCAUGCAUAGGAGGGAGACACAGUGGGCUGUACUGAAUGUGUAUAGGCCUGAGCUCAACCUUCAACAGAGAGCUCUUGAACUGACUCUGCUGAGAGUGUAAAGUUUCUGUGCCUUUCCCAUUAGUGAUUUCCACAACAAUUCUAAUACAUUAUAUUUGAGACAGAACCCCUCUCUUUUACUCAAAUAGUCUGUGCUAUAUUGUUUCUCAUGGCAACAAUCAGAAAGACAUAAGUAGUUAACACAGUCAGCCUGAGCCUGCUACAAUACACAAGAGAUAGACAGCAACCUUUUUAAAGCAUGAAAUGCUGGUAUGUGAGGACACCAGACAGAGGUUAAGAGGACAUGGAAUCGAAUCAAUCAUGCCAUUCUUCUAACAUCACACAUUUUGAUUACAAUGACAACAGUGUUGGUUAUGAUGGUGAAAGCAGAUCACGAAUUUGCAAUGUUGAAGUCUACCCUGCCCUGGCUCCUAAAAGCUCUGACUCUGAAUAUAAUGUCUGAUCCAGGUAUAUGUGGCCCUCUCUGGUGAAAGAUAAGGAAAGGUGCAGCAUAGUGAGAGAAGGAAGGUAGGCUUAUAAAUGCAGUUAAUUGAUCAUGAUUAAGAAACUGUACACUUGAACAAAGUGGCUAAGUGCUUUGUGCUUCCCUGUAGUCAUAGCUUAUGUUAGAAAUCGGCGGUUACGUAUAGUGGUGAAAUAAUGUAGAUCCCGUAUCAAAUCGAGGGAGAAGUAUGCUCAUAUUUAUUGGAAAAUUGCAGCACAGAUGUCAUUCGGUGAACGUUCCAUUAUCUUCUCACUGUAAUGUUAGUUGCUAGCUAGCCUAUACAUUAGGGGCGUUUCUAUCUAGCACAGAUCAUGUUUCCAAGACAGUAACCCCCAUGCCGUAUGGUCAAUGUGAACAUUCCUGGGGUUAUCAGAGCGCAACCUACAGAGAGAUAAUCUAAACAGAGAGGUUUCUGUUGUUCUCAUUAUCUAGGCACAUUUUGGUUUCCAUUUAUCGUUGUUAUGUCAUUUAAUUUUCAACAAAUUACACAAUGUACAGAAAAGAUUUUGAUCUUUAAUAUACUUCCUUCACCGAGACCCGAUGUGUGAUUUAAGUGUUCAUUUUAUUUUUGAGGACUGUAUUAGUACAAAUAAACAUUAAUAAAUUAAACAAGUAACAGGAAUGUCUUGGCUAAAUAGUAAUUGAUAUCUUGUGACAUGGCUAGAAGAAAUGUGAAAUAAUCUGGGUAACUUUAAGACUGAAAAUGCAUUGCAAGACACAAAAUGAUAUCUGCAUUUGAUGAAUAGUACUUGAAGGUCAACUUCCUUGAUGGAGAGAAUUAAAUCUA
ensembl:lncRNA